rnacentral:lncRNA from 1 species
AAGUGCCCUGUGGACUAUUUUCUUAUAAGCCCUGCAUUUUGUCAGGAGAUGAGAAGAACAAGGCACAACUCUUGGGCCUGGGGAGCUUCCAGGCCUUCUGAAGGUCCACUCCCAGGUGAAAUAGACGCGUGGCCAUCCUGUUGGUGUUUAGCAGGUAAAGAGACUGGUGUGACCUGUAAUAGUCUAGGAGAAGGCUGGAGCAGGUGGCCUAGGAUUUCACCUUGUUAUGGUUUGGAUUUUAGUUUUCCCCCAAAUUUCAUGUAUUGCAAUGAGGGCAUGUUCAGAAGCGAAUUGGAUUGUGGGAGCGGUAGCCUCAUUAGUGGAUGAAUCCAUGAAAAAUCAAUAAUUUGGAUGGACUAACUGGGUGAUUACCGUAGGCAGGUGGGGCAGGACUGGAGGAAGUGGGUCCCUGAGGGCAUGGACCAUGUCGGUCCAUGGCCCCUUCCAGGCUGCCAUAAAGAUGAGCAGCCUUCUUCUGUCUCAGCCUUCUGCUGCGAUGUCCUGCCUCACCUCAUGCCCAAAGCAAGGAGUCAUCAAACCAGGGACUGCACCUCUGAAACUAUGAGCCAAAAAAACCUUUUCUUCCUUUAAGUUGUUCUUAUCAGAUAUUUUGAUCAUAGCAGCAAAAAACUGUCUAAUACACACCUGGGACAGCAUUUGUGGUUUAAUGGAAAGAACCUUGGACUGGGAAUUGUAAAGCAUAGGUUAGAAUCUUGACUUUCUUACUUAUUCACAGGUUGAGCCCUGCCUCUUUCUCCUCCUUCUCCUCCUCCUCCUCCUCCUCCUUCUUCUUCUUCUUUUUUUUUUUUUUCAGUACUGAGGAUUGAACCCAGGGGUGCUUAACCACUGAGCCACAUCUCCAUUUUUUAUAUAUUUUUUGGAGCAAGGUCUUGCUGAGUUGCUGAAUGCCUCACUAAGUUGCUCGUACUGGCUUUGAACUUGUGAUCCUCCUGCCUCAACCUCCAAAGCCUCUGGGAUUAUAGGUGUGCACCACCAUGCCUAGCUUAGCCCUGCUUUCUGCAUCCAUAUGAUGUAACUUGGAAUAAUAUAUAUAUAUAUAUAUAUAUAUAUAUAUAUAUAUAUAUAUAUAGAGAGAGAGAGAGAGAGAGAGAGAGAGAGAGAGAGAGAGAAGAAGAAUGGACUUUCAAGAUAGGUCUGCUGCAUCUGAAUCCUACUUCCUCUUCUUCUCCAGAGCUCCAUUUUCUCUCCCGGGGAAUGAUAUGCUUCAGGUAGAGGCAAAGUGGUCUAACCCAAACUUGGCCAAAAAGGAUCAUUUUGAGUCUCAACACUGAUCCUUGGUGAGACAGACAGGCGACAUUUGUCACAGGGCUGGGGGUGGUUUCCUGAUUCCCACCCAUGCUCCCCAAUCCCCAUACACACUGGACAAGAUACUACAGGUCUUAGCACUGGAACCAAGGGAGGGAGACCACCAAAGCUGGCCCAGAAGGUAAAAGGAGCCAGUGAAAAGCAUCUGGGGACUCUAAUGGGGAUGGAAGUUGGGGGGGAAGUUAGGAUGUGUUGGUGAUUUUAUGGUUCGGCUUGACCCUAGAAAGAUGCCUCCCCUUUCCCCCAAAAGUGACUUAGCCAGGCCCGAUUGCGUGAUUCAGUCUGGUUCUGUGAGACAGACAGGAAGCCUGGGCUGAAAUCUGCUAGUUAUUUCCAAAACAGACUGAGUGACUAUUAUGUGCUAGGCACUGAUAAAUUUCUAAUACUUAAAAAAAAGCCCAUAGGAUCUAAUCAUUGUGUAUCUCCAAAUAUUCAUUUCCUGCGUAAGAAAGAGACUUGAGGUCAUUUUUUUGCGGGGGUCAGAUGGGGUUACCCAGAGAUACAUAAUGAAACCACGGGCCGGGAAACCAAGAGUGGAGGUGGAGGCGGCUGAUGGAGGUGGGUGCUGCCUGCUGUCACAGACAGGAAGUUCAGCCGCCUUUGAGCUCAAGUGGCACCUGCCUGUCUAACUCAGUGGGCAGUGUGUGUGUGUGUGUGUGUGUGUGUGGCCUCUGUGGAAUCUGACCAGGCAGUUAUGAGACUUGGGAGGGUGCCCUUUGGAGACCCUUGGCUUCCUAGGUGGAAAUGUCCCUGCCAUUACUGACCUUUUCAUGCUGCCAAUCCUGGCCCACUAGAGGGAAGGCCGGGGGUCUGAUGUCUGCCCAGGUGUAAUGGGGCGGAAGCGUCACCCUGAGAGGUAAAGCUUGGUGAGGCUUCAAACAUUGGUCUGAAUCUGUGGGGAAGGGAGAUUUAUUAAGGCACCUUUGGGUGGCCUGCUCGGCACUGGAGGGGCAAGAAUUCUGUCCUAGUUCAAAAUGUGGGCUGCCUCUCCCUCUCCUCAUCUCUCAGAUCAUUCUCGGGUACUUGCUUGUCUUUGUGAGCAGGCAAAGGCCUUUUACCUAUAGGAACUAUUUUUUUUUUGAGGUAAGAUAUAUGAAAGUGCUUUAUAAAUAGCGAAGGUUACGUAAGUGUAAGGUGAUGCUUUCAUUACCCCUUCCUAUGGAGGCUGCAGGCGAGGCCUCGGCUCCCACUCCACUGGAAGCCUGACCCAGAUUGGACUCUCAGGAAGACGUCUUAUGUAAGAAUUGGCUAAAUUGAAAACAGUUCCUCUUCCAAGUCCAAAUUCGGUUUGAUUUAUUUCAAUUAAAAUUGUUUUUACUAAGUGUUCACCACAUGCCCAGGCCUAGCUGACGGUAGAAAGGAACAUGAUAUAAGCGUGGUUCCUGUCUUCACGGAAUUUAUCGUUUAGUGGAGUGGAUUAAAAAAAAGAGAGAGUGGAAGUUGUUUUGUUGAAUGAAAUUUUAGUUAAAAUGAAACGAAGAGGGGGCUUCAGUUGAGCUGGAAAUGAAAGGGGCUGGAGGUGCUGCGGCUGGGGCUCACCCUUUCUCCUCAGGGCCCUGUGAGGCUUUCUCAGAGGCCAGUUCAGAAAGCACUCAUUUCCAUAAGGCUUCUAGAAGAACACAGGAGGAUGCUUUCGUGGCCUGGGGAUGGGCAAAGAAUUUUUAAGAUGCAAAAAAGCACAAAGUAUAAAAGGAAAAAGAUGAUCAAUUAGACUACAUCAAAAUUGAAAGCUUCUGAUCAUAAAAUGACACUUUUUUUAAUAUUUAUUUUUUAGUUCUCGGCGGACACAACAUCUUUGUUGGUAUGUGGUGCUGAGGAUCGAACCCAGGCCGCACGCAUGCCAGGCGAGCGCGCUACCGCUUGAGCCACAUCCCCAGCCCAUAAAAUGACACUUUUAAAACAAAUAAGGAAGCCAGAUUGGGAAAAGAUAUUAGCAUCACAUACACCUGAUAAUAGUCUUGUAUUGAUCAAAACAUUGAUCAAAAGGCUUGAACAGAUACUUUAUAAAAUAAUGUACAUAAAUGCCCAAUAAAC